rnacentral:rRNA from 1 species
AAUAAAGUUUUCUUUAUUGGGGUUGCGGACAUAUCAUAACGAAGAGGUAUCGUAAUUGAAGAGGUUUGGAAAGACCCACCACAGAAGGUAAUAGUCCUGUAUGUUAAACGAGAAGACUUUAGAUAUGAUCCAGAGUACCACGGGACACGUGAAACCCUGUGGGAAGCAGGAGGGACCACCCUCCAAGGCUAAAUACUACCUAGUGACCGAUAGCGUAUAGUACCGUGAGGGAAAGGUGAAAAGAACCCCGGGAGGGGAGUGAAAUAGAACCUGAAACCCUGCACUUACAAGCUGUGGAAGCACAUUUCUUGUGUGACCGCGUACUUUUUGUAGAACGGGCCAACGAGUUACGUUAAGUAGCAAGGUUAAGCACUUAAGGGGCGGAGCCGUAGCGAAAGCGAGUUUUAACUGAGCGUUCAGUUACGUGACGUAGACCCGAAACCGGGCGACCUACCCAUGAGCAGGAUGAAGCGAAAGUAAAAUUUCGUGGAGGUCCGAACCCACGAGCGUUGAAAAGCUCGGGGAUGACUUGUGGGUAGCGGUGAAAUUCCAAUCGAGCCCGGAGAUAGCUGGUUCUCCCCGAAAUAGCUUUAGGGCUAGCCUCAAGGUGAGAGAUACGGAGGUAGAGCACUGAAUGUCCUAGGGGGUAUUGCACCUA